CCUACGGGGGGCUGCAGUGGGGAAUUUUCCGCAAUGGGCGAAAGCCUGACGGAGCGACGCCGCGUGGAGGAUGAAGGAUUUCGGUCUGUAAACUCCUGUCAGGGGGGACGAUGAUGACGGUACCCCCAAAGGAAGCAUCGGCUAACUACGUGCCAGCAGCCGCGGUAAGACGUAGGAUGCGAGCGUUGUUCGGAAUUAUUGGGCGUAAAGCGUGCGUAGGCGGCUAUUUAAGUCUGGUGUUAAAGCUAGGGGCUCAACCCCUGUGUUGCACGGGAAACUGGAUAGCUUGAGUACGGUAGGGGAAGGUGGAAUUCCGAGUGUAGCGGUGAAAUGCGUAGAUAUUCGGAAGAACACCGGUGGCGAAGGCGACCUUCUGGGCCGUCACUGACGCUGAGGCACGAAAGCGUGGGGAGCAAACGGGAUUAGAUACCCUGGUAGUC
rnacentral:rRNA from 1 species